UAGGGAAUCUUCCGCAAUGGACGCAAGUCUGACGGAGCAACGCCGCGUGAGUGAAGAAGGAUUUCGGUUCGUAAAACUCUGUUGUUAGAGAAGAACAGCGCAUAGAGUAACUGUUAUGCGUGUGACGGUAUCUAACCAGAAAGCCACGGCUAACUACGUGCCAGCAGCCGCGGUAAUACGUAGGUGGCAAGCGUUGUCCGGAUUUAUUGGGCGUAAAGCGAGCGCAGGCGGUCAAUUAAGUCUGAUGUGAAAGCCCCCGGCUCAACCGGGGAGGGUCAUUGGAAACUGGGUGACUUGAGUGCAGAAGAGGAGAGUGGAAGUCCAUGUGUAGCGGUGAAAUGCGUAGAUAUAUGGAGGAACACCAGUGGCGAAGGCGACUCUCUGGUCUGUAACUGACGCUGAGGCUCGAAAGCGUGGGUAGCAAACAGG
rnacentral:rRNA from 1 species